UGGGAAUUUUGGACGAAUUGGGCGAAAGCCUGAUCCAGCAAUGCCGCGUGUGUGAAGAAGGCCUUCGGGUUGUAAAGCACUUUUGUCCGGAAAGAAAUCCUUGGCUCUAAUACAGUCGGGGGAUGACGGUACCGGAAGAAUAAGCACCGGCUAACUACGUGCCAGCAGCCGCGGUAAUACGUAGGGUGCAAGCGUUAAUCGGAAUUACUGGGCGUAAAGCGUGCGCAGGCGGUUUGCUAAGACCGAUGUGAAAUCCCCGGGCUCAACCUGGGAACUGCAUCGGUGACUGGCAGGCUAGAGUAUGGCAGAGGGGGUUAGAAUUCCACGUGUAGCAGUGAAAUGCGUAGAGAUGUGGAGGAAUACCGAUGGCGAAGGCAGCCCCCUGGCAAGUACUGACGCUCAUGCACGAAA
rnacentral:rRNA from 1 species